rnacentral:lncRNA from 1 species
UUGAAUAGGAGAAGCUCCCAAGAGGGUGUCAACUCCCCUAUACUUGCAAGAUUUGCAGUAAACCACUCCCCUUACGCCUACAAACAUCCUCAUCGGAGGUGGAGUUGGUGGUUUAACUGGCGGAUAUGGUUUUACUGGAGGCUUAACUGGCGGAGAUGGUUUUACUGGUGGCUUAACUGGCGGAGAUGGUUUUACUGGUGGCUUAACUGGCGGAGAUGGUGGUUUACUAGGAGAAUGUGCUGGUGGAGUUGGCGGUUUAACUGGUGGAGAUGGUUUUACUGGUGGUUUAACUGGCGGAGAUGGUGGUUUGCUAGGAGAAUGUGCUGGUGGAGUUGGCGGUUUAACUGGUGGUUUAACUGGCGGAGAUGGAGGUUUACUAGGAGAAUGUGCAGGUGGAUACGGUGGUUUAACUGGUGGAGAUGGUGGUGGUGAAGAGUGAGAAGGAGGAGGAGCAGGGGCUGGAGAGUGCUUGUGGUGGUGGUGGUGGUGGUGGUGGCCACCUUUAUGAGGCUUAGGGGCUUCAACAGGUGGGGAGCUAACAGAGGAAUGAGGAGCUAGUUCUGAAGUCACAAUGCCAUCAACAUUUUGGCCAAGAACUGUGAAUGAAGUAACUAGUAGUAAAGCUACAAUAAACCCAAUGGACUUUGUUGGAACAAACCCCAUUUUGUUCGACAAA